UAAAGUUUUAUGUUCAUGGCUUAUGUCAAAAACUUACGAUGGGUCUUGAGUCACCUUUGAUCGUAAAACGGACAAAUUGUGGAUGUCCAAAAUUCCAAAAUAAUUAUUUAUAUUUUAUUAAAUAUCUAAAAUUAAUAUUUUUUUCCAUUCUAAAUCUCUCAAUUCAGUCUCUCCGUCCACAGUUAGCAUUUUUAGGACGAAACUUUGCGAAGUGUUUUGUUUGUAAACAAUGAACUCUGUUAAAAAGAGUAAUAAAUAAUAUAUUCUUUGCAAUGAACCUAUAAAGUCAAAACAAUGAAGUUAAUUGAGUGCUAUUAAUCGAUUUAUAUAGGAUGCUGAGACUUGGACUCUGAGAGAAAGAUAUUUGGAAUAUGCCCUAUAACUGCAGACUCCAAUAUUGCAAAAAGCACCUGCAAUACAGUGGAAUAACAUAUUGGUGUGCUGAAGAAAAGAUGGCAAAGGCUUUUAGCUGAUAGGACAUUUGUACUGAUGACCCUGUUAUCUGGUCAAAUCAUGUGUGUGUAUUAUCAAAAUAUUUGUAUUUGUAUAUUUGAUAUUUGAAAAUAAAAGAAUACUUACUUCGC